UUCUUUAAAUAAGGACUAGUAUGAACGGCACCAGAGGGCUUAACUGUCUCCCACAUCUAAUCAAUGAAACUGAUCUUCUCGUGAAGAAGCGAGAAUAAAAAUAUAAGACGAGAAGACCCCAUGGAGCUUUAAACUUAUUAACAAUUACUUUUAGCUAAACCAACAUAUAUAGUAAAAAUGUUCCACAAUAGUUUUCGGCUGGGGUGACCCUGGAGUAAAAUAAAUCCUCCAGGAUGAAUGAAUUAAUAAUUCUAAUCAACGAGUUACGACUCUAAGAAUCAAAAUAUUGACAUUAAUGAUCCAACCACUUGAUCAACGAACCAAGUUACCCUGGGGAUAACAGCGCAAUCCAUUUCAAGAGCCCUUAUCGACAAAUGGGUUUACGACCUCGAUGUUGGAUCGGGGUGUCCAAGUGGCGCAGCCGCUACUAAUGGUUCGUUUGUUCAACGAUUAAUAACCCCACGUGAUCUGAGUUCAAGACCGGA
rnacentral:rRNA from 1 species